CCCUCACCAAGGAUUCAGGUAGGCAGCACGGCCUGGCUCAGGCCCCCAGGGCCCCCCUCACCAAGGGCUCAGGUAGGCAGCAUGGCCGGGCUCGGGCACAGGGGAGCUUUAAAUGCCCCCUCAGACCACCACGUCAGAAUCUCCAGGUGGGGCCUGGGUGAGUCCCACGGGCGCCAGGGGUGCACCUGCCAGCCCUGGGGCAGGGCCAGCCAAGGUGCGAGUGUAGCGGUGGCCGCUGCGCAGUCUGCCCCAGCUGAGGGCUGAUUUAAUUAGAAAGCACCCAUUUCUGUUAAUUUGUUCUGGAAGAUCACCACGCACUCCUGGAGAGAACAGAUGUUCCCUCUCCCCCGAUGAGCAUUUGGGGCUUGGUAAAUGGCUCCACUCAGCCUUGUUUAGGAGAGAAAAGAGGAUUUUAUGGCUGCAAACGACCCUUUCUGUAAACAUUUUACAGCUCUCCGCGCGUUUGAGUGACGAUAAACCCCACGCAGCUCGGCGGGCUGCAAAUUUGCGACCAUACGGCUAUCAUUUUAUUGUCAUAUUUCACGGUCGUAACGUUAAUGGAAGAUGCUUGCUGCAGCCUUCUGCAACAGCUCCGCUGAGCACACUCAAAUGCCUGCCUCGGAGGGGCCGCCUCCUGUUCACAGCCUCCACGUCAGGGGCGUGGAGCCGUGGCCAGACCCUCCGCCCCACGAGACCUGGGCACCCGCUCCCUCCAUCUGGGUGGGCCUCUCUGGGGUCGGGGAGCAGAUGGGGCCCCGAGGCAGC
rnacentral:lncRNA from 1 species